AGCAGCCGCGGUAAUUCCAGCUCCAAUAGCGUAUAUUAAAGUUGUUGCAGUUAAAAAGCUCGUAGUUGAAUUUCGGGAUCAGUAUGUUGGUCGUGCUUCGGUACGUACUGUCAUUACUGGUUUCUACCUUCUGAAGAACCUUGAUGUCAUUAAUUUGGUGUCUUGGGGAAUCAGGACUGUUACUUUGAAAAAUUAGAGUGUUUAAAGCAAGCAUACGCUUGAAUACAUUAGCAUGGAAUAAUGAAAUAGGACGUUUGAUUCUAUUUUGUUGGUUUCUAGGAUCGACGUAAUGAUUAAUAGGGAUAGUUGGGGGCAUUAGUAUUCAAUUGUCAGAGGUGAAAUUCUUGGAUUUAUUGAAGACUAACUACUGCGAAAGCAUUUGCCAAGGAUGUUUUCAUUAAUCAAGAACGAAAGUUAGGGGAUCGAAGACGAUCAGAUACCGUCGUAGUCUUAACCAUAAACUAUGCCGACUAGGGAUCGGAUGAUGUUAUUUUAAUGACUCAU
rnacentral:rRNA from 1 species